UUAAGCGACUAAGCGUACACGGUGGAUGCCCUGGCAGUCAGAGGCGAUGAAGGACGUGCUAAUCUGCGAAAAGCGUCGGUAAGGUGAUAUGAACCGUUACAGCCGGCGAUGUCCGAAUGGGGAAACCCAGUGCAAUUCGUUGCACUAUCGUUAACUGAAUACAUAGGUUAACGAGGCGAACCGGGGGAACUGAAACAUCUAAGUACCCCGAGGAAAAGAAAUCAACCGAGAUUCCCCCAGUAGCGGCGAGCGAACGGGGAGCAGCCCAGAGUCUGAAUCAGCUUGUGUGUUAGUGGAACGGUCUGGAAAGUCCGACGGUACAGGGUGAUAGUCCCGUACACCAAAAUGCACAGGCUGUGAACUCGAAGAGUAGGGCGGGACACGUGGUAUCCUGUCUGAAUAUGGGGGGACCAUCCUCCAAGGCUAAAUACUCCUGACUGACCGAUAGUGAACCAGUACCGUGAGGGAAAGGCGAAAAGAACCCCGGCGAGGGGAGUGAAAAAGAACCUGAAACCGUGUACGUACAAGCAGUGGGAGCACCUUCGGGUGUGACUGCGUACCUUUUGUAUAAUGGGUCAGCGACUUAUAUUCUGUAGCAAGGUUAACCGUAUAGGGGAGCCGCAGGGAAACCGAGUCUUAACUGGGCGUUAAGUUGCAGGGUAUAGACCCGAAACCCGGUGAUCUAGCCAUGGGCAGGUUGAAGGUUGGGUAACACUAACUGGAGGACCGAACCGACUAAUGUUGAAAAAUUAGCGGAUGACUUGUGGCUGGGGGUGAAAGGCCAAUCAAACCGGGAGAUAGCUGGUUCUCCCCGAAAGCUAUUUAGGUAGCGCCUCGUGAACUCAUCUUCGGGGGUAGAGCACUGUUUCGGCUAGGGGGUCAUCCCGACUUACCAACCCGAUGCAAACUACGAAUACCGAAGAAUGUUAUCACGGGAGACACACGGCGGGUGCUAACGUCCGUCGUGAAGAGGGAAACAACCCAGACCGCCAGCUAAGGUCCCAAAGUCAUGGUUAAGUGGGAAACGAUGUGGGAAGGCACAGACAGCCAGGAUGUUGGCUUAGAAGCAGCCAUCAUUUAAAGAAAGCGUAAUAGCUCACUGGUCGAGUCGGCCUGCGCGGAAGAUGUAACGGGGCUAAACCAUGCACCGAAGCUGCGGCAGCGACACUAUGUGUUGUUGGGUAGGGGAGCGUUCUGUAAGCCUGCGAAGGUGUGCUGUGAGGCAUGCUGGAGGUAUCAGAAGUGCGAAUGCUGACAUAAGUAACGAUAAAGCGGGUGAAAAGCCCGCUCGCCGGAAGACCAAGGGUUCCUGUCCAACGUUAAUCGGGGCAGGGUGAGUCGACCCCUAAGGCGAGGCCGAAAGGCGUAGUCGAUGGGAAACAGGUUAAUAUUCCUGUACUUGGUGUUACUGCGAAGGGGGGACGGAGAAGGCUAUGUUAGCCGGGCGACGGUUGUCCCGGUUUAAGCAUGUAGGCUGGUUGUCCAGGCAAAUCCGGAUAAUCAAGGCUGAGGUGUGAUGACGAGGCACUACGGUGCUGAAGUAACAAAUGCCCUGCUUCCAGGAAAAGCCUCUAAGCAUCAGGUAACAUUAAAUCGUACCCCAAACCGACACAGGUGGUCAGGUAGAGAAUACCAAGGCGCUUGAGAGAACUCGGGUGAAGGAACUAGGCAAAAUGGUGCCGUAACUUCGGGAGAAGGCACGCUGGUGUGUAGGUGAAGUCCCUGCGGAUGGAGCUGAGACCAGUCGAAGAUACCAGCUGGCUGCAACUGUUUAUUAAAAACACAGCACUGUGCAAACACGAAAGUGGACGUAUACGGUGUGACGCCUGCCCGGUGCCGGAAGGUUAAUUGAUGGGGUUAUCCGUAAGGAGAAGCUCUUGAUCGAAGCCCCGGUAAACGGCGGCCGUAACUAUAACGGUCCUAAGGUAGCGAAAUUCCUUGUCGGGUAAGUUCCGACCUGCACGAAUGGCGUAAUGAUGGCCAGGCUGUCUCCACCCGAGACUCAGUGAAAUUGAACUCGCUGUGAAGAUGCAGUGUACCCGCGGCAAGACGGAAAGACCCCGUGAACCUUUACUAUAGCUUGACACUGAACAUUGAGCCUUGAUGUGUAGGAUAGGUGGGAGGCUUUGAAGCGUGGACGCCAGUCUGCGUGGAGCCAACCUUGAAAUACCACCCUUUAAUGUUUGAUGUUCUAACGUUGGCCCCUUAUCGGGGUUGCGGACAGUGUCUGGUGGGUAGUUUGACUGGGGCGGUCUCCUCCCAAAGCGUAACGGAGGAGCACGAAGGUUAGCUAAUCCUGGUCGGACAUCAGGAGGUUAGUGCAAUGGCAUAAGCUAGCUUGACUGCGAGCGUGACGGCGCGAGCAGGUGCGAAAGCAGGUCAUAGUGAUCCGGUGGUUCUGAAUGGAAGGGCCAUCGCUCAACGGAUAAAAGGUACUCCGGGGAUAACAGGCUGAUACCGCCCAAGAGUUCAUAUCGACGGCGGUGUUUGGCACCUCGAUGUCGGCUCAUCACAUCCUGGGGCUGAAGUAGGUCCCAAGGGUAUGGCUGUUCGCCAUUUAAAGUGGUACGCGAGCUGGGUUUAGAACGUCGUGAGACAGUUCGGUCCCUAUCUGCCGUGGGCGCUGGAGAAUUGAGGGGGGCUGCUCCUAGUACGAGAGGACCGGAGUGGACGCAUCACUGGUGUUCGGGUUGUCAUGCCAAUGGCACUGCCCGGUAGCUAAAUGCGGAAGAGAUAAGUGCUGAAAGCAUCUAAGCACGAAACUUGCCCCGAGAUGAGUUCUCCCUGAGACUUUAAGUCUCCUGAAGGAACGUUAAAGACGAUGACGUUGAUAGGCCGGGUGUGUAAGCGCAGCGAUGCGUUGAGCUAACCGGUACUAAUGAACCGUGAGGCUUAACCUU
rnacentral:rRNA from 1 species